rnacentral:rRNA from 1 species
CCCUUAGAUGUUCUGGGCCGCACGCGCGCUACACUGACGAAUGCAACGAGCUUAUAACCUUGGCCGAAAGGUCUGGGUAAUCUCCAAAUUUCGUCGUGAUGGGGAUAGAUUAUUGCAAUUAUUAAUCUUCUACGAGGAAUGCCUAGUAAGCGCAAGUCAUCAGCUUGCGUUGAUUACGUCCCUGCCCUUUGUACACACCGCCCGUCGCUCCUACCGAUUGAAUGGUCCGGUGAAGCGUUCGGACCGUGGCCUUUGGACGGUUCGCCGUCUGUUGGCUGCGGGAAGUUCGUUAAACCUUAUCAUUUAGAGGAAGGAGAANUCGUAACA